rnacentral:rRNA from 1 species
UACGGGGGGGAGCAAGCGUUGUUCGGAUUUACUGGGCGUAAAGGGCGCGUAGGCGGCCAGCACAAGUCAGUUGUGAAAUCUCCGAGCUUAACUCGGAAAGGUCAACUGAUACUGUGCGGCUAGAGUGCAGAAGGGGCAACUGGAAUUCUUGGUGUAGCGGUGAAAUGCGCAGAUAUCAGGAGGAACACCGGUGGCGAAGGCGGAUCUCUGGGCCAUUACUGACGCUGAGGAGCGAAAGCGUGGGGAGCGAACAGG